rnacentral:lncRNA from 1 species
AAAAGAAAGCCGGGGCCAGAAAGAAACUCAGACAUCAUCUGGCUUACAUUUUAAUCUUGCAACUGAGAAAAGGUAGACUCUCAGCAGCUCCUGGCAAUAAACAACUCAGGCGCAACGGGAUGUUUCUUACAAGGAGCAGCCGUGCAGUGAUUGCUCCACUCUGAGGGUCUGACUCAGCCCUUCCUCAGCUUCUGGGCUUAUUUUAGCCCCACGUUUCUGGAGGAGGAAACGAGAACAUGAUCAAGGAUGCCGUGGGAAGAGCCUGGGGCCCUCCAGUUCUCUCGGGGAGCCUCGGGAAGCUCCUCGCAGUUUCAGCUACUGUAGAAAUUCACAGCCAAGGGCUCCUACAGAAUUGGGCUGUCAGCCUGGCCAGCCUGGGCGGGUGGGCCCCGCUGUAAGAAAGCCUGCCAUUUGGAAAUGAGAAUUAGAGCAAAAGGGGGGCUUGAAAACCAGGAAAGGGAGCCCCUCUCCCAGUGUAGCGGAGCCAGUCCAAGCAGAAGGUGACAAGGAAUGCUGCUGGAACUCAGCAUCCAGUCUCACAGAGCCUGAAGAAAGGCCAGUCAGCUGGUCCUCCUCUCAUGCCUGUUCUGCUCGACACAAAGGACUGGAAGCAUCAGUGUGUCUCUGGAGUCCAGCAUGGAGGUACCGGUGUGUGGCCAGAUGGCUGGAGUUCAGGCUGAAUCUGUUCUUGCCGAUGGCAAGUUCUCUAACUUCCAGCCAGGUGCUUCUCCACUGCCUCCCCGCAACACACAGGGUACAAAUUUAAAGCCAGUUGUCUAGCUUCUGUUGCUACUUGCCUCUGCUUAGAAUAGCUGAGCCGAAUGGAUCUUAGAAAUCUCUCUCUUUUGCAUGUCAAUCAUAUCUGAAUAAAG